rnacentral:rRNA from 1 species
UAACUUAGGGAGAAGGGGUGCCUACGAGAGUAGGCCGCAGUGAAUAGGCUCAAGCAACUGUUUAUCAAAAACACAGGUCUCUGCUAAAGCGUAAGCUGAUGUAUAGGGGCUGACGCCUGCCCGGUGCUGGAAGGUUAAGGGGAAUAGUUAGCGCAAGCGAAGCUAUGAACUUAAGCCCCAGUAAACGGCGGCCGUAACUAUAACGGUCCUAAGGUAGCGAAAUUCCUUGUCGGGUAAGUUCCGACCCGCACGAAUGGCGUAAUGAUUUGAGCACUGUCUCGGCAAUAAAUCCGGUGAAAUUGUAGUGCAAGUGAAGAUGCUUGCUACCCGCGGUUGGACGGAAAGACCCCGUAGAGCUUUACUGUAGCUUAGCAUUGAAUUUCGGUAUUGUCUGUACAGGAUAGGUGGGAGACUUAGAAGCGAGGGCGUCAGCUUUCGUGGAGUCGUCCUUGGGAUACCACCCUGACAGUACUGGAAUUCUAACUGGAGGCCAUGAAUCUGGUCACAGGACAUUGCUAGGGGGGCAGUUUGACUGGGGCGGUCGCCUCCUAAAAGGUAACGGAGGCGCCCAAAGGUUCCCUCAGCGCGGUCGGAAAUCGCGCGUAGAGUGCAAAGGCAGAAGGGAGCCUGACUGCGACACAUACAGGUGGAGCAGGGACGAAAGUCGGGCUUAGUGAUCCGGUGGUUCUGUAUGGAAGGGCCAUCGCUCAACGGAUAAAAGCUACCUCGGGGAUAACAGGCUGAUCUCCCCCAAGAGUCCAC